GCAUCGAUGAAGAACGCAGCGAAAUGCGNUAAGUAGUGUGAAUUGCAGAAUUUAGUGAAUCAUCGAAUUUUUGAACGCAUAUUGCGCCCUUUGGUAUUCCAUUGGGCAUGCCUGUUCGAGCGUCAUAUGUAAAUCAAGCAUAGCUUGGUGUUGAGUAUUUGUCCUCUGGACUGACUUGAAAAACAUUGGCCACUCCUAUAUUAUGCAUAGUGCAGCACAUGUUACACUAUAGCCACUAUAUAUGUGUCCAAGAAGCCUACUUCUACUAGCUUGACCUCAGAUCAGGCAAGAAUACCCGCUGAACUUAAGCAUAUCAAUAAGCGGAGGAA
rnacentral:rRNA from 1 species